AAUGAACGCUGGCGGCAGGCCUAACACAUGCAAGUCGAACGGAUCCUUCGGGAUUAGUGGCGGACGGGUGAGCAACGCGUGGGAACAUACCCAAAGGUACGGAAUAGCCUCGGGAAACUGGGAGUAAUACCGUAUGUGCUCGAAAGAGGAAAGAUUUAUCGCCUUUGGAUUGGCCCGCGUUGGAUUAGGUAGUUGGUGGGGUAAUGGCCUACCAAGCCGACGAUCCAUAGCUGGUUUGAGAGGAUGAUCAGCCACACUGGGACUGAGACACGGCCCAGACUCCUACGGGAGGCAGCAGUGGGGAAUCUUAGACAAUGGGGGAAACCCUGAUCUAGCCAUGCCGCGUGAUCGAUGAAGGCCUUAGGGUUGUAAAGAUCCUUCAGGUGGGAAGAUAAUGACUGUACCACCAGAAGAAGCCCCGGCUAACUCCGUGCCAGCCGCCGCUGUAA
rnacentral:rRNA from 1 species